rnacentral:misc_RNA from 1 species
GCCAGGUUAAGCCAUCAAUAUCUUUUGACCUUCACAUCAUAGCCAAACUUUGCUGAUUCCAAGAACAUCACAUUUUUAUGCCAAUAAUUUCAUUGAUAAUAAUAAAUACAUAUGUGCGUCCGUGUCUGUGUGUUGACCUGCUCCAGAAAACUAAGCUACUUUCAUCAUGCAAGAUUAAAGAAGAAUGCCACCCAUUCCAUGAGAAAUUUUUGUGAUUUAAUACAAAGAAGAUCUCAGU